GAAGAAGAAGUUGGAGCUAGGAUUGAAGAUUUUGAGUUCUUUCUUCUUCAAUUCUCGUGGGUUUUCAACUUAGAGGUAUGGAGAUCCUUUAUCCUUGAUUAUUCUUCCUUUCAACGAGCUCAAUUCAAAUGAUUCAAAGUUCUUCCAAAAACACAAAAAUCCUAAUUUCGAUUCUAAGCAUGGGUUCUUGCAUUAAAUGAUUUUUUUUGAUGAUUUACGUUAUUAAUGGUGUCUAUUGAUGGUUUUAAGAAAGAAAUUUCCAUGAACCAAUAUCUUGGCAAGUUUCCUAAAGUUGGCUUAUGAAGUGGGUUUAUUGUUUAGGAUUGAAUGAUGAUGGAAGUAUGCUUGGAUUGAGUUGAAUAGUUGACUACUAUUAUUAUCUAUGCUUAUCAAUUGUGAAUUGUUGGAGAGUUGAGGAAUGGUGAUUGUGGCUUGGGGAAAAGGGUAAGUGGACCUAACUUCCCUGUUAAGGUAGAGUUGAUAUAGAAUUGUGAUAGAUUGAUGUGUGAUCCACUUAUGGUGGAGGUGUUUACUUAUCGAAUGUAUUGUGUUUUAUGGUCCUUGGAGGGCAUUAUAUGAGGAAUUGAAGUGUUGACAUGAUAUCAUAUAUGUGAAUGUGAUGUAAAGGCAAUCAUGUUGUGAAUAUAAAGGUGUUCAUGUGAUCUCAAGGUGAUCUUGUUUAAAGUGUUAUUGUAUUGUGAUUGAAAGUGUGUCCUCUAUUAUUGUUCAUAUGUGAUGAUGAUGAAAUGUGAAGGAUAUUUAUAAUGUGAUGUGUGGCUUGACUUGGUAGACUUAGGUGCCUCUUCUUGAUACAUUAGAAGCCUUGUUGAAUAUGAAUCGAUAGGAUAUGGCAGUCUUUUCGGAUGUAAGUGACGAAACCUGCUUUUGUAGCUGGAUAGUGUUUGGUAUUUUGGGCAUAUCUCUUUCUCUAGAACGUAGUUUGCAGUGAAUAAAUAUGAUUUGGAAAGCUAACUCGUAUACCUACAACUUUUAUGUUUAUGUAAAAUUCUAAUUUAACUGUUAUGGAUACGAAAUAUGGGACGCAACAUAGGGCAAGUUCUGCCCAGAUUCCGAGAAUUGAAAUCCUGCAUGACCAGCGGCUAGUGUCUUGACUAUAUCUCUUUGUACAAAAUAUAUUUUGCGGUGAUCCUUGUUUGUUUGCAACCCUAAGAGAUGUAUCUACAUCUUUCAUGAAGGUUAUAAAGCCUAGUUCUGCCAUUUUCCUUUUCAAAUCUAAGAUGCAACAUGAAGUACUAGGCUGGCCAGAUUCACUGUUUUGGGUGCAUAGUUGUAUUUGUACAUGCUAGGCUUACUUAUGAUGAUGAUCCUAUUUUACGUCAACAUUACUGAGCUAAUAGAAGUUAAAUAAGUUAUGUAAUUGUAUUUCUAAGGUUGAUAUACUCGUGAACAAGUUGAGGUAUGUGGGUUUGAUUGUGGAAACCUUCCUUUCCACAAGUCCAACCAUUUAUCCUCUAUUUCUACUUCAAGUUUAUGGGUCCUUAUGAACUCUUGAAUUAUGGAAUUACUACUACACAUCCUAUUAUGGUCUAUUUUACAUAUUAUCAUGAAAUGGAAUUAUUAUGUGAUGUUUAUGGUUUUCAUGCUUCCAUGAUCAAAUUAUGAAGGUUGAUAUAUAUGUAUGUUGUUGGUGGGCUGAUUUAUAUGGAUUUUGGAAUUGGUUGGACUUAGUACUCUUGAAAGACAUGAUUUUAUCUACAUGAACAAUAGCCCACCAUGUGUUUGAUAAAAUGCCCACUUAUAGAAUUCUUAGGAAAUGGAAGGUCCAAUGUACGUCCUAUGAAUCGGAUGGUUAUAUAAUUACUGAAAUGAUGAUGAAAUGGACACAUGUAUAUGAUUUUCUCUAUAUACGUGUUGUGAGUCGACCAAGCCUAGUACGGGGGGUAGUAGGCCCGUAUAACCAUAUCGAGGGGUUGGUACCUUGGUUGCCUAGUACGGGGGGUAGUAGGCCCGUAUAACCAUAUCGAGGGGUUGGUACCUUGGUUGCCUAGUACGGGGGGUAGUAGGCCCGUAUAACCAUAUCGAGGGGUUGGUACCUUGGUUGCCUAGUACGGGGGGUAGUAGGCCCGUAUAACCAUAUCGAGGGGUUGGUACCUUGGUUGCCUAGUACGGGGGGUAGUAGGCCCGUAUAACCAUAUCGAGGGGUUGGUACCUUGGUUGCCUAGUACGGGGGGUAGUAGGCCCGUAUAACCAUAUCGAGGGGUUGGUACCUUGGUUGCCUAGUACGGGGGGUAGUAGGCCCGUAUAACCAUAUCGAGGGGUUGGUACCUUGGUUGCCUAGUACGGGGGGUAGUAGGCCCGUAUAACCGUAUCGAGGGGUUGGUACCUUGGUUGCCUAGUACGGGGGGUAGUAGGCCCGUAUAACCAUAUCGAGGGGUUUGUACCUUGGUCCCUAGCUCGGGGGGUGGUAGGCCCGGGUAACCACAUUGAGGGGUUUGUACCUCUUUCGCCUCUCCAAGGGGGUGGUAGGCCUUGGAAAUACUAUAUUGAUGGUCACUCACCACACUUGUGCUACGUCCCACUAAAUAUGACUUUUAUGUAAGCGUCAUUAUAUAUAUAUCGUUUCAUUAAUGUGCUAUCUAACGGGUAUUACUAUGCAUUUUCCUACGAUGUCCAUCUAUGGUAGCAUUGCAUUGCAUCCCAUAUACUUAGUACAUUCAAAUGUACUAACGCAUACUCUAUGCCUACAUGAUGUCACCAUGUAGGGACCGGAGCACCGCUUGACCAUCCUCCUCCGCGUGGCUAAUACGAUUUCCUAUCAAGGUUAUUGGUGAGUCCUCCAUUCCGGGGACGUUGCUCAUGAUCUUUUGCUAUGUAUAAGACUUUUCCUUUUAGUUAUGUUUUGACUAUGAGGGUGAGCCCGGUAGUUUGUCUUGGCCCCCGCUAAGUACUCAUGUUUAGAGGUGGUGUUGGACAAGUUGUGUAUUAUGCUUGAGCUUGACUCAUCUAUGGUAUUUUUGUAUCAUUCUUAUUUUUGUUUCUCUUGCUCCCUUAGUCCCGAUUCCCCCCUUAAUUAUGCUUAUCGCUUAUGGUCAUUUUAUUUGCUUCCGCGACCAAGGAUGUGUAAUGAUACGCUAUGAGGCUUGUUUGGGGUUCCUUCGGGUUCCCCAUUCGCCGGUCACGUCUAGGCACUAGGCUUGGGUCGUGACAGGAACCUAUCCAUAAAUUAACACUACCAUACCUUUAUUGGAAAUCCUUCACGAAAUUGAAGAGGAAAGUUGAGUUCUUGUGCCUUGGUAUCCUAGUUCUUCUUCUUCUUCAAUGGUGGUUUUUAGUGAGAGAAUUUUUGGAGAGGGGAGCUUCUGAUUUGGGUCUUGUGAGAAUGAGUUAGUUUGCUUAGUUUAGGGGUCUUAUUAAGUAUUUAUAGGUGUCUUAAAUAAUAUUAAACAACCCUACUUAUUUACUUAGUUAACCCUUAACCCCUCCCUUAAUCCUUAUUUCAAAAAUUAAAGACACAAAAUCUGGUGUGACCUACGAAACCCCCACCCACAGACCGUGGGUGGGGUCACGAGCCGUACUGGUAAUUCAUAAUUUGUGACUGAAACUUGGGAAGAACAGGGGAGGUCCAUCCUCGACCCACNNNNNNNNNNNNNNNNNNNNNNNNNNGACUCGGAAAAAUGAUAGGUUAAGCAAGAGCCUAUGACUUUGUGUUGACUUUAUAAUGAGGUUCUAUGAGGGGUUUUUAUGUAAUUUCAUUUUAAUUGUGUUACAUCCGACAAUUUAAAAUGAAUAUGAAGAAGCUUGAAAUUGGAAGUAGUCAUUUUUGGGAAAAAAUUUAGAAUCUGGAAAUUCGGCCAAGUGUGGAAAUCAGUGAGUUUUUGGCCAACUUUGAGCAGUCAUAACUCCUAGCUCAGGAUGAUCCAGGAGUAGUUCCAGUUAUAUUUGGAAAGCCCUUGGAACGAUAUUUCCAACGCCACCUAGUUUGCUCGAUUCCGAGUUCGUAUGAGCGAGUUAUGCCCUUUGAAAGUUGGGCAGUUAGCAAGGAGUCCGUCCGGAAAUUUAAGGGCAUUUUGGUCUUUUCACAAAUCUUUUCUUUUGAGGUUAUAUUAUUGUGUUAGGCUGAUUGUGGAUCAUUUUUGUUCCAUUUUAAAAGAGUAAGAGUUAGGGUUCUUGAGUGAAGAAGAGAAGAAGAGGGGAAGAAGAAGAAGAAGAAGUUGGAGCUAGAGUUGAAGAUUUUGAGUUCUUUCUUCUUCAAUUUUCGUGGGUUUUCAACUUAGAGGUAUGGGGAUCCUUUAUCCUUGAUUAUUCUUCCUUUCAAGGAGCUCAAUUCAAAUGAUUCAAAGUUCUUCCAAAAACACAAGAAUCCUAAUUUCGAUUCUAAGCAUGGGUUCUUGUAUUAAAUGAUUUUUUUUGAUGAUUUAUGUUAUUAAUGGUGUCUAUUGAUGGUUUUAAGAAAGAAAUUUCCAAGAACCCAUGUCUUGGCAAGUUUCCAAAAGUUGGCUUAUGAAGUGGGUUUAUUAUUUAUGAUUGAAUGAUGAUGGAAGUAUGCUUGGAUUGAGUUGAACAGUUGACUUCUAUUAUUAUCUAUACUUAUCUAUUGUGAAUUGUUGGAGAGUUGAGGAAUAGUGAUUGUGGCUUGGGAAAAAGGGNNNNNNNNNNNNNNNNNNNNNNNNNNNNNNNNNNNNNNNNNNNNNNNNNNNNNNNNNNNNNNNNNNNNNNNNNNNNNNNNNNNNNNNNNNNNNNNNNNNNNNNNNNNNAAUGUACCUUGAAUCGGUAGGCUUAUGGCACCCUUUCAUGUGUUAAAUAAUGUACCUUGAAUCGGUAGGCUUAUGGCACCCUUUCAUGUGUUAAAUAAUGUACCUUGAAUCGGUAGGCUUAUGGCACCCUUUCAUGUGUUAAAUAAUGUACCUUGAAUCGGUAGGCUUAUGGCACCCUUUCAUGUGUUAAAUAAUGUACCUUGAAUCGGUAGGCUUAUGGCACCCUUUCAUGUGUUAAAUAAUGUACCUUGAAUCGGUAGGCUUAUGGCACCCUUUCAUGUGUUAAAUAAUGUACCUUGAAUCGGUAGGCUUAUGGCACCCUUUCAUGUGUUAAAUAAUGUACCUUGAAUCGGUAGGCUUAUGGCACCCUUUCAUGUGUUAAAUAAUGUACCUUGAAUCGGUAGGCUUAUGGCACCCUUUCAUGUGUUAAAUAAUGUACCUUGAAUCGGUAGGCUUAUGGCACCCUUUCAUGUGUUAAAUAAUGUACCUUGAAUCGGUAGGCUUAUGGCACCCUUUCAUGUGUUAAAUAAUGUACCUUGAAUCGGUAGGCUUAUGGCACCCUUUCAUGUGUGAUGAUGUCAAAGUAAUGAACUAUUCUAUGGGAAUGUAGGCUAAGCACCGAGCGGAUUUGGUUAGAUGGAAACUCCCCCGACAGUUAGGCAUGAGUUUCAAUGAUCGUCUACCUUAUCCCAUAAACUAUGUGCCCGCAUAGGAAGCUAGUGGAUCCAUUAAGCUAUAUAUACCGGUCUUCCUUAGGCAAGUAGACCACCUCUUUUCGGUGUGGGGACUCAUGACACCGGAUUCCAUGACAAGCUCUCAUGGUCUAUGUCGGUUAAAUGCUUACUUCCCAUCAUGUGAGAUUUCAUUAUGGUUUCUUGAUAGGUUCUACAAAGUGUAGGUAGUAGUAUGGGAUGCUACCUAUACAUUGCACGAGUAGGCUUGGAGAGGGUCAUAGUGAGUUUCUCUAAAUCCUAAUGUAUGUGACAUGAAUGUGCCCUAAAUGGUUUCUUAAAGAAUGUUGGUCUAUUGAAGUUAUGUUGUAAAUGAAAUGUCCUUAUCUAAGGUAAUCUUGGGGAACACUUAAGUAUGCUUGAAGAGGAUUGUGUGGGCGGUCACUUCUUGUCUCACUCAAGUGUGUCUUAAGGUNNNNNNNNNNNNNNNNNNNNNNNNNNNNNNNNNNNNNNNNNNNNNNNNNNNNNNNNNNNNNNNNNNNNNNNNNNNNNNNNNNNNNNNNAAAUGACAUGUGUCCUUCUAAAGUUAAGCAUGGGUUGUAUAUGGAUUUAUGUUAAGUAUAUGUAUGGUUGGCUAUGGUCUUAUAUGUUAAUGUUGACUUGUAUUAUGUCUCUUAUACUUGUGAAGUGAAGGUUUUAUCAAAAUGAUAUGAAAGCAUUUACUUUCUUGUAAAUGUCCGUUGUGCAUAUUUUCUUGCAUGGUCUCCAUACUUAGUACUUAAUUGUGCUAACCCCUUUCUUUCGCUUUUUGACUAAAGUGUAGGGAUUUGGAGAUAGUGAUAUGUCAUGGCUACUUGAUAGGUUUUUAAGAGUUGAAGAUGAAGACUUGGUGAGUCCUCAUAGAUUCGAGGGCAAUAACCAACAUGUUCUUUUUUUUAUGUCUCUCUAGUAUUUGCUUAAGUUUUGAGUGGGCUUAGUCCCAAUGUU
rnacentral:lncRNA from 1 species